rnacentral:rRNA from 1 species
AAUAUUGCACAAUGGAGGGAACUCUGAUGCAGCAACGCCGCGUGAGUGAAGAAGGUUUUCGGAUCGUAAAACUCUGUCAUUGGGGAAGAAUAAAUGACGGUACCCAAUGAGGAAGCCCCGGCUAACUACGUGCCAGCAGCCGCGGUAAUACGUAGGGGGCGAGCGUUGUCCGGAAUUAUUGGGCGUAAAGCGCGCGCAGGCGGUCCUUUAAGUCUGAUGUGAAAUCACGUGGCUCAACCACGUGCGGUCAUUGGAAACUGGAGGACUUGAGUGCAGAAGAGGAAAGUGGAAUUCCAAGUGUAGCGGUGAAAUGCGUAGAGAUUUGGAGGAACACCAGUGGCGAAGGCGACUACCUGGACUGAUACUGACACUGAGGUGCGAAAGCGUGGGGAGCAAACA